rnacentral:rRNA from 1 species
CAGUAGCCGCGGGAAUACAGAGGGUGCGAGCGUUAAUCGGAUUUACUGGGCGUAAAGCGUGCGUAGGCGGCUUCUUAAGUCGGAUGUAAAAUCCCUGAGCUUAACUUAGGAAUUGCAUUCGAUACUGGGAAGCUAGAGUAUGGGAGAGGAUGGUAGAAUUCCAGGUGUAGCGGUGAAAUGCGUAGAGAUCUGGAGGAAUACCGAUGGCGAAGGCAGCCAUCUGGCCUAAUACUGACGCUGAGGUACGAAAGCAUGGGGAGCAAACAGGAUUAGAUACCCGAGUAGUCCCUGUCUCUUAUAU